rnacentral:rRNA from 1 species
GUCGAGCGGUAAGGCCCUUCGGGGUACACGAGCGGCGAACGGGUGAGUAACACGUGGGUGAUCUGCCUCGUACUCUGGGAUAAGCCUGGGAAACUGGGUCUAAUACCGGAUAUGACCACGAAUCGCAUGGUUUGUGGUGGAAAGAUUUAUCGGUGCGAGAUGGGCCCGCGGCCUAUCAGCUUGUUGGUGGGGUAAUGGCCUACCAAGGCGACGACGGGUAGCCGACCUGAGAGGGUGACCGGCCACACUGGGACUGAGACACGGCCCAGACUCCUACGGGAGGCAGCAGUGGGGAAUAUUGCACAAUGGGCGAAAGCCUGAUGCAGCGACGCCGCGUGAGGGAUGACGGCCUUCGGGUUGUAAACCUCUUUCGACAGGGACGAAGCGUAAGUGACGGUACCUGUAGAAGAAGCACCGGCCAACUACGUGCCAGCAGCCGCGGUAAUACGUAGGGUGCGAGCGUUGUCCGGAAUUACUGGGCGUAAAGAGCUUGUAGGCGGUUCGUCGCGUCGAUUGUGAAAACUUGCAGCUCAACUGCAAGCUUGCAGUCGAUACGGGCGGACUAGAGUACUUCAGGGGAGACUGGAAUUCCUGGUGUAGCGGUGAAAUGCGCAGAUAUCAGGAGGAACACCGGUGGCGAAGGCGGGUCUCUGGGAAGUAACUGACGCUGAGAAGCGAAAGC